rnacentral:lncRNA from 1 species
CUUAUAAGGCACAUUAUACUGUUACAGGGUCAGUAUUUUUGUUGUUGUUGUUGGCUUUUGUCCCAGCAGGGUUGACCUUCUCAAGGUGUUUUCCCUCCAGGGGCAGUGGAGGAAGAGUGCCGGGUGACAGAUACAAAUAAUCCUAAAGCAACAUUCUUUACAGAGCUCCAGCUCUUCCAGAACCACAGAAGACUUGCAGCAUGGUGGUCUGAUGAGCUGCCUGAAGUGUGCGUCACAGGUGGGCCCACCAGGAGCCCCUGCAGCUGAGCAGCCCUGCAGACGCAUGACAGCAUCUGGUGAAACUUCAUUUCCACACAGGUGUUGGUGACAUGGCUGAAUCCUGCAGAAAUGAGUGAUUCCCUUGCUUCUUUCCUUUGUGGCCUUGACUACGCAGCUCCAAGAGGGAAAGAGUGGAGAAAUUGCUAUUCCAGUACUCAGAGACAUGAGUCCAGUGGUUCUAGGAGGAUUCAGGAAUCAAAGAGGGACAACACAGCAGAGAUGGAGAUGAACGCGUCUCUCAUAGCAGAAAGAGGAGAGAUGCACAAAAAGCAAGGAUGUGGGAGCCCUCGUGAGGACUUCUCAGCAAGCCAGCCUACAUGCACUGUGAUGACCUGA